UCCCGCAUCGACCAAACUAACGAGCACCAUUUUAAACUGAUGACUGUUUGUUUAAAUUCUGUUUUACAUGACUUGGACGGCAAAGCUUUGAGAGUUGCCAAAGUUGGAUUUACUUUUUUGCCACUUCAGACAGUCCCAGCGGUGGUAUUUAGACCAAUUAUGUCUUUAUUCUAAAACAAAUUAGCCAAUUAUAUUUUGUCUGCAUGACUAUUUUGUCGGUUUUAUUUACAGAUCCCGUGAAAACGAGGAGUCUGUAAAUAAAAAGAGUCCGCAAGGUAUCCAUUUAUCGAGGAUCCAGCAUUGCUUCAAAUGGACGAGGAGAAAACACCCUGCUGAAACCCGGCUGGAUCAACUCAUGAACGCAUGUUGGUUCUUACUUCUUGAAGAUUUUGGACUUUUCCUGGCGACACAGGAUUUUCAUGUGACAUGUACAAUUAUGGGAUGACCAAUAAAAUAUUAUAGUUUGAAGUGUUAGCAGCCAAAUAAGUAGUGCUGUGUAUACAUGCAAUUUGCAGUGUUAAACUUGCAAUAUCUAAGACAAAUAAAGUUUGAGAUAUCAUACGAGUUAUGUUCUGUUACUUUAGAGAUUUUCUUAAUACAGUGUCUAAUGUUGUGCACUUAAAUUUCAAUAAUAUAUAUUUUACAGUUUGACCAUGAUAUUUUACUGUAAAUGUGUAAAUAAAGCUUGCUUUCCCCCCCCGCAGGAACUAUUGCUUCAACUGUAUGAGACAUGCUGUUAAAAGCUAUAACUAUAGUUUUAAAAAAGUGAGAAUGCAGCUCGCUAUUUCUUAAAUUAUCCUUUAUAGCUAAAUCACACUUUGGCUUCACUGAUGCUGCAGGACGUCCAGAUAAAAAAUACAGUGGGGAUUUAGCAAACCCAUGUGUGUACUGCCCACGUCCACAUCUUAUGACAGCUAAUUUUUAUCUUACUGCUUAUUGAAAAUAAGGGUAUGACUGUUCAUUGUAUAAUGGUAGCAUCUUUUUGUGGUGAAAAUGUGCACAAUUUGAAAAUUUGUGAAACAUUUGUAAGGAGUCGUUUACACACGUUUCCUGAAAUUAAAGCACCGUUGGAGUUAACACUAAAAUUAACAACAGUAACAUAUCACAUUGGGCACUUUUUACCAGUUCCAGGCUUAAAGACUGCAGGCUGAGAAAUCAAUCAAGCUUAAAUGUUUUAACAUCAGAAUGCAUUUCUCUGUGAAAGUGCUGCAGACAUAAAUUUUAUAACUAUGAACAAAACCAGCAGCCCAUGAAUAUUGACGAUGUUAACUACCUCUACACUUCCACAGGUAGUGAUUUAACAUUUUGUGAAUGGAACAAAUAUUGCCAUUCAGGGUCUUUCAAUCACACAAAUCCACAUGUGAUCAAUGGUCCUUGUGAAGUCAUGGAGGGAAUAAAAAGCAAAUGGAAUGUGAAUGGGAUUUUGGUAAGACCUUCACAACAGCGAUGACCCCGAAUGAAAAAUAGAACAGCUUCUUGGUGUGAAGAUGACUCGAAGGUGAAAAGCCAAUAAAACACAGGAAUCACUGAUUCACAGGAUCUUGGUUACUGUAUCGUCAUAUGAUGACACGCAAAAGCUGCGGCUCAAGCUCACAACGUGAGAAGCAGUCUUUCCCGGAUGAUGUCAGAGUAAAAUCUUAGACUACAAUAAACUGAGAGUGUAUUUGUAGACAUGUGAUAAUGCCCUGUGGUUAGAAAAAGACACAAUUUACUGAGCUCUUAAAUACAUUCUGAGGUGGAAAUGAGGUGGAGUCCUGAUAAUUAACUGUUCACUAAGGCACUCAUUCUAUAAAACAUAUACAAAACUCAGUCUAGUCAGUCAUAUUUCAUUAUGUUUAGUAUUUAUUUUAAGCUAAGUGACAUUACAUACUCAAAGUGUAUACUCACCAACACUUUUCUAAACAUACAGUUUCAAUGGAAGCUCUUUGCACCCACCCCUCACAAACACUAUUUGAGAAAGACAAAAAAAACUAGAUGGUUUUUUUUUAUUCAGUUUCUAAAAUGCAUUUAACACUGAGACAAUAUCAUAUUCUUUCAGGAUACCACCAAAUUUCAGUAUUUGAAAAUGCUAUUCAUGUUAGGAUGUUUUAUGUUAGGACAAAUCAGGGAACCUCUAUUUGGCAUGUUGUAACACCAGGGCAGAGGUCAACAAAGAGUGAAUUAGGAGUAAGUAUUCCCUGCUAUACAGUUGCACGAUGAUUGUCUACACGUAAAUGUGUCUUUUCUGAAUGUGUAAUAAUAAAAUAAAAUGCAGCACCAUUGUAAUGUGAAGCUGACUUGAAAGUAAA